AGGAAAAAGCAGGUGAGAGGCCGGACCCCAGUCCCUAGAUUAGCCCGGGAAACCGCCGAGUCCCCUCGGGUGCCGCUAGUCUUUCAACGUCUCUCAACCCUCGGCCGGGCUCGACAUUGCGCCCACCGGGUCACCAGAGGACAAGCACCCAAGCAAGCCUGGAAGGCGGGGCUGGCCUUGGUGACGUCUCAAUGUCAUAUGCAAAUAAGAGACGUCACGGCCCACCGGCUUGGAGCAACCAAUAGGGAGCCGAGAACGCAGCUCCAGCGGCCGCCGGCGGAGACAGACAAAGAACCGGAGAGGGGGGCGCAGGGCGUGUCCUGGGGUGCACGGAGCCCCCAGCCCCGCGGUCGGGACUCACCUGGGGCGGCUCCGGCAACCGGUGCGCUGAGGUAGUUGUGCGGCCGGGCGUCCCCGGGGCGCCGGUGCUCACAGCCGGAACCGCAUACCCGGGACUGGCCGGGAGACGGCAGGGCUCUCAGUCGGACGCCCGGAGCUGCUGCGGCCGCUGCGCCGGGGCUCACGGCACAAAUCCGAACGCUCCAACAGCUGAUUGUGACGUCACAAAGGGGCCCGCCCGCUCGCGUCAGCGGCCGUGGAGCGGCGGCCAAUCGCAGGCGUCGAAUGUUCUUUCCCCGCCCCUCCGCGGUUCGCCAGCGGGUGGCUGAAGCCCGGGUUCUGCGCCCUGAACCUCGGGCUGAGUGGAGGUGACGGCCCGAAUUCCCUGCCCCCAGUCACCCACAAACCUCGCACUGAAGACGACCCCCCCAUUCUUCCACAAAGAUACGAUCUCGCUGCUCUUUCUGCAUAUAGCCUUGCUCUCUCCCUUGCCCCAGUGCUCCGUACAUCCGUUCGCCUGCCAGUACCUAGGGGUUACAGGAGGACCCCCACCCCCACUACGCUCCAUCUUUACAAAGGAGCACCUGCGCGUGUGGGGGAGCUGGUGGAGCUGACGGGAAAUUUGGCCAGAGGAGGCCUUGGAAAGAAAUUGCUCUAAGCUGAAUAAACAUUGACCUGGAGAAAGCUCA